rnacentral:rRNA from 1 species
AUUGAACGCUGGCGGCAUGCCUUACACAUGCAAGUCGAACGGCAGCAUGGAGAGCUUGCUCUCUGAUGGCGAGUGGCGAACGGGUGAGUAAUGCAUCGGAACGUACCGUGUAAUGGGGGAUAACGUAGCGAAAGUUACGCUAAUACCGCAUACGACCUGAGGGUGAAAGCAGGGGAUCGCAAGACCUUGCGUUAUACGAGGGGCCGGUGUCAGAUUAGCUAGUUGGGGAGGGAAAGGCUCACCAAGGCGACGAUCUGUAGCGGGUCUGAGAGGAUGAUCCGCCACACUGGGACUGAGACACGGCCCAGACUCCUACGGGAGGCAGCAGUGGGGAAUUUUGGACAAUGGGGGCAACCCUGAUCCAGCCAUGCCGCGUGAGUGAAGAAGGCCUUCGGGUUGUAAAGCUCUUUCGGCCGGGAAGAAAUCGCACAGGCUAAUACUCUGUGUGGAUGACGGUACCGGCAUAAGAAGCACCGGCUAACUACGUGCCAGCCGCCGCAGUAACAC